rnacentral:tRNA from 1 species
GCCGGGGUCCGUGGCACACAUUCACUUUAUAAGUGGAUGGCUAUGGGUUCGAUCCCAGCCCCGGCA